rnacentral:rRNA from 1 species
UACGUAGGGGGCGAGCGUUAAUCGGAAUUACUGGGCGUAAAGCGUGCGCAGGCGGCUUUGCAAGACAGAUGUGAAAUCCCCGGGCUCAACCUGGGAACUGCAUUGGUGACUGCAAGGCUAGAGUACGGCAGAGGGGGAUGGAAUUCCGCGUGUAGCAGUGAAAUGCGUAGAUAUGCGGAGGAACACCAAUGGCGAAGGCAAUCCCCUGGGCCUGUACUGACGCUCAUGCACGAAAGCGUGGGGAGCAAACAGG